rnacentral:rRNA from 1 species
CGUUAGCGGCGGACGGGUGAGUAACACGUGGGUAACCUACCUAUAAGACUGGGAUAACUUCGGGAAACCGGAGCUAAUACCGGAUAAUAUUUAGAACCGCAUGGUUCGAUAGUGAAAGAUGGUUUUGCUAUCACUUAUAGAUGGACCCGCGCCGUAUUAGCUAGUUGGUAAGGUAACGGCUUACCAAGGCGACGAUACGUAGCCGACCUGAGAGAGUGAUCGGCCACACUGGAACUGAGACACGGUCCAGACUCCUACGGGAGGCAGCAGUA